rnacentral:rRNA from 1 species
AGAGUUUGAUCAUGGCUCAGGAUGAACGCUGGCGGCGUGCCUAACACAUGCGAAGUCGAGCGGAGAUAGUUGAAGCCUAGCGAUGACUAUCUUAGCGGCGGAUGGGUGAGUAACACGUGGGUAACCUGCCCUGUACUGGGGAAUAACAGCUGGAAACGGCUGUUAAUGCCGCAUAUGCGCACGGAGCCGCAUGGCUCUGGGCGGAAAGAUUUAUCGGUACAGGAUGGGCCCGCGUCGGAUUAACUUGUUGGCGGGGUAACGGCCCACCAAGGUGAUGAUCCGUAGCCGACCUGAGAGGGUGACCGGCCACAUUGGGACUGAGACACGGCCCAAACUCCUACGGGAGGCAGCAGUGGGGGAUAUUGCACAAUGGGGGAAACCCUGAUGCAGCGACGCCGCGUGAAGGAUGACGUAUUUCGGUAUGUAAACUUCUAUCAGCGGGGAAGAAGAUGACGGUACCCGACUAAGAAGCCCCGGCUAACUACGUGCCAGCAGCCGC